GGUCACUUCCGGUUGUCGUACUGGAAUGGCAGGGUCUCAACGGGUCAAAAUUUUCGGAAUAUUUUUCUUUCCACCUGGAUAAAAGCCUGACAGAAGAGUCCUUGGUUAACCUGGACAUAUGAUAAACAACAACUGCAGCCUAGGAGGAUCGUUAUGAUUCACUUAUCCAGUUGUAAAUGAGAGGCCAUGGACGUCUGCUCCUUUGGGAAUCUCUACCCCUUUGAAAAGAAAAUAGAGGUUAAAAAUCUGCUAAACGAGUUAGCGGCAACCAGGAUCCUUCUCUUCCACAGGACCAUGUGGCUCUGGUGAAUGACAGGUCUGGUGUUUGCAGUGAAACUCUCUGUGGCACCUCCCUCCACAGGGGACUCUGAACCACCAGCCCACAGGAGUGACUCCCACUGGGAGGGCCGAGGCCUUGCACUUCCUCCCCUGGAUGACCUCUGACACACCCAGUUUGUGCUUGGUGGCCUUGAAGAGACAGUGGUGGGGAUUUCUCCCCAGCCAAGCAGCGGGUUGUAAUUGAUGUGGCAGAGACGUCAGCACUAAUCUUUUGCUCUCUGACGGCCUCUCUGUAAGCCCCUCAUCCACUCGACUCUGAGACCUGCCGUACUAACCUCGGCAAACUGCUACCUAGUCAAUUAGAUCUAUCCUGUCUGCUCCCUGUUUUGUGUAAAUAUAUCUCCCGUAGACACCCAACAUGUUCAGUUAUCUGUCCUGGCACAUUCAGGCUGAUUUCUUAGUGCCGCUGCAUGCCACUAUCAGCAAAUGGAAAGCUCGGCUGAUAUCUCUUCCCGCAGUGAGCUGACUGAUUGUAUAUGGAAUAUGGGAACACUGUUGAUUUUCAUAUUUGUAUGAAGGAUUCCUAUCUUCCUCUACAUACCAUGGGUCCCACAGUGCGUAUGGAUAUUGUAAUCACACAGUUGUAUAUUGUGCGCUUCACCUGGGGAUACCAUUACUAAUUUUUAAAGUGGUGUGAAUAGAGUCCAAUGGGAAGCACUAUCACAAGCACGGCUCUGUUGUGUGUUCACUCGUUCCUCAACAAUGUCAGCAACUUUGCUUUAGAGGACAAACCAUGUCGUGGAAAGAGGUACUACUUGUUACUGUCAGGGAUACAGAGAGGACAUCAUAGCUCUUUGUAAGGGAAGUAAGAGAGAAGUGGCUGAACUGCGUAUUAAACAGUAUUCAAAGUUAAUUGAGCAGAGCGGUUGCAUUUUAAGAUGUUUACUGCAAGAUCCUGUUUGUUCUGUGUAGUUCUGAUUACACAGAGGUAAAAAUAGCACUUGCUAAAAAGAGAAUGUAUGUGUUUGGAGUUGAAUUUGAAAAUACUAAAUUGAUUUUGAUUGCAUGUUUGCAUGUUUGCUCAGUUAAAUAUAUAUUUUUAAUUAAACAAUACAAAACACACACACCCUCCCCCCAAAAGCAUUUUCUAGUGGUAUUAGUGUUGGUACCGGAGAUCACAUAUUUUCUGUCACUUGAUUUUCAAAAUUCUCAAACAACAAGCAAAGCAUCAACUUCACCUCUUAAUCACAGGCAAACCUUUACAAAAGAUAGACUUCAAUGAAGCACAUCUAUUGCUGUGAUUUCUGUGGAAUCAACAGCUUUAUCAGAGUCUGCUUCUCAGCUGAGCCCCGUGAGUCACCGUCUUCAGGAAAACGGUAAAUGUCACUUACAUGGCCAAAUCACCUUAUUUGGUCAAAUCAAUUUAAGGUGCAUUAGCAAAGAUUAGAUCAGCCAAUAAAAUAUACGGUUUGAGUCUUCAAACUUAUAUUUAGAUUUUUGCUUGUGGGUAUUGUUCAUGUAACUCUGGAUGGUGACUAAGCUCAGAAACGUUGUACGCUACCAAAAAUACCAGCGACCACCUCAUUCACGUGAACUUUCCCAGUCGGAAACUAAUGGCUCAAAAGCUGUGCAAUUCGUGUCUCGCCCGUGAUUCGGAUACGCUCAAAAAUGUAACGGCUUCUUCCUUGGCCUAUGCUACACCCCUCCACCAAGUUUCACGAAUCGGGCCAGAAGUUUUUCCGUAAUCCUGCUGACAGACAAAAUGAGCCAAAAACCUAAACCUCCUUGGCGGAGGUAAUUAUGACCUCCAUAACUCAUGAUUAUAACUUAAAAAUCUAAUAAUAAUGACAAAUUACGACUAGAUAUCAUACAUCACAUAUCAUAAUUAUGAGAUAACAAUAUUUUGUAAGUAAGGGAAAAGGAUUAUAACUAUUAUUUUUUACUAUGACUUUUAAAUAGAAUCUACAAAACGUAUAUUCAUUCUAUUUUAAGUAGACGUUCCCUUUUUGUGAGGGAUUUGAAAGCUUCGACAGGAUGAAGUUGUGACAUUUUCACACUAUAACACUGCAACAAACCUAUUUCCCUUAAUUCGUGUUACCUAAUGUAACCUUCCAUUUGUGAUUUGUCUAAAACAUUGUGGAUAUGAAGCCUGUCGACUACAGUGCGUUACUGGAGAGGUGGCCAGGGCAUGCUCUCUGCACAUGGUCCACUGAGAAUAUUCCAACCUCAAGGGAUUCAUCAUUUAUAUAAUUACUAUGAGUAAAUAUUCCAACAUUACAGUUGUGAUUAUUUUGCAAGAGGAAGGUCAAGCUGGUAAUAAAAAAAAAAAAAUGAAAUAAUUUACCAAACAGAGUUCCGAUCAGGAUGCAUGUAAAUGCAUCAAAGAGGGGCACAUAGACA